AUGCCUUCUUCAAGAUCCAAAGUUGAUAGCACCAUGACUGGGACUACUAUAUCUUUUGGAUGGAGCUAAUGAAAGCAAUGCUGAAGUGAGCAAAUGCAAGAAGGCCAGGCUAGUAUACUACUGGGGGUCAGUAUACUACUGGGGAUCAGUACACUACUAAGGGUCAGUAUACUACUGGGGCUAGUAUACUACUGGAGGUCAAU
rnacentral:lncRNA from 1 species